GAACACCUUAUACUGACCAUAACAGACGAGCAUCCUCAAAACCCACCUCCUCCUAAUUCUCUUAUGCCUGCCCUCCUGGGCUUCCCAGUUUCACAGACACAUCCUGAUUGUCCCCACCGUUGUUGGGUCAUACAUGUAAAUAUGUUGCCUUCAUCAGUGGGUAAUACCUUCUUUAAUUAUGUCCCCUCCACAGAAAGUUUGAGCCAGAAGGGACCUUAAGGGCCAUCUCCAUUGCCCAAGUAAAGAAACAGAGUCCUGGGCACACAGGAUAGCAGCGGAGUGAGUGGAUGUUCCACUCACCUCCUCCUUGGACCAACCUGGACUUACACCUAGAAUAUAGACCAAUCAACCUGAACAACCAACCGAAGACGAGCUGGAGAGAAGUCUUAUAACCAAGGAGUUACGGAAGAAGCCACAUGGAGACUGCUCCAAGCUCACCACCAACACAGUAAUAGCUAUGAAUACAAGGAAAAGGAGAUCUCGUGGGCCGGAGGCUGAUUGGAGAAGGAGAACCUUGACAGCAGCUACUUCUAGAUCUUUGCUGACAAGUGAAGAUGACAGUGCAUCUGAAAAACUGAAUACUUACUGUAUUUUAAUUUAAAAAUUGAUACUGGUUUCAGUUAUUGGAAAGCUGAAUCAAGUUGUGUGGAACAACUGAGAUGAGGAAGUCGAGGGCACAGAGAGGUGGAGUUCCCCGCCCAAGGCCACUCAGCGGGUAAGUGGCAGAUUCGGAGUGUUUAACCCAGGCUGCCUCUAGGGCCUGAGCUCUAAACGCCCCUGACAGACUGCUUCUAAUUUUAGAUUAUUGCUAUCAAUCCAACCUCCUGUGUGUGUAUCAGUGUCAGAUUGAAUUCCACUCUCCCCCGCUUCUAAAUAUUCAUGAUUUCACUUCCCUCUCGCCACAUCUCUUGCACAUCUCACAUUCCUCACCUCAGCAGCUGACUGGGUCCCCAACUUCUGCUGGCCCAGCCCCCCACCUCCAGCCUCCCACCCCACCACCCCCGCCUGGCCUGGCCCCGGCAGUGCAGAGCCCUUACAUCACCCAGGGAAGGCCCUUUGAAUGGAGGCAAUGGCACUUCUUCUGAACCCCUCAAAAUGAAAUGUGAUUUUUAAAAUGGACAGCAUGACAAGGAGCAUUUUGGUUGGGUGCAAGGGGGGAUGAGGGGAACAGGGGAGGGAUAUUCUUUACCUUACAGAGUGCUACCGACUCAAGGAUAGCGACCUUGUCCACUUCACA